GUCAUAUGUUCAUUUCAAUGUAAAAGAACUGCGUCGAAAUGAAAAACUUCCUACUAAUUGUAUUGCUGAGCAACGCUCUCCUGAAAUUUGAACUCACCUCAACUACUGCAGGACAAACGACAUGUUCUCAAAGAUGUCCUGAAAGGUUGCGUUGUAUGUGUAGAAGAAUUAAUAGUGUAUCGAAAAUUAACUUUAUUCAAAAUCAAAGAUGUACACCAUAUUAAAGAAAAUAAACUGCAGAUUUUU